GAGAGGAGCUUGCUCUUCUUGGAUGAGUUGCGAACGGGUGAGUAACGCGUAGGUAACCUGCCUUGUAGCGGGGGAUAACUAUUGGAAACGAUAGCUAAUACCGCAUAACAAUGGAUGACACAUGUCAUUUAUUUGAAAGGGGCAAUUGCUCCACUACAAGAUGGACCUGCGUUGUAUUAGCUAGUAGGUGAGGUAACGGCUCACCUAGGCGACGAUACAUAGCCGACCUGAGAGGGUGAUCGGCCACACUGGGACUGAGACACGGCCCAGACUCCUACGGGAGGCAGCAGUAGGGAAUCUUCGGCAAUGGGGGCAACCCUGACCGAGCAACGCCGCGUGAGUGAAGAAGGUUUUCGGAUCGUAAAGCUCUGUUGUAAGUCAAGAACGAGUGUGAGAGUGGAAAGUUCACACUGUGACGGUAGCUUACCAGAAAGGGACGGCUAACUACGUGCCAGCAGCCGCGGUAAUACGUAGGUCCCGAGCGUUGCCCGGAUUUAUUGGGCGUAAAGCGAGCGCAGGCGGUUUGAUAAGUCUGAAGUUAAAGGCUGUGGCUCAACCAUAGUUCGCUUUGGAAACUGUCAAACUUGAGUGCAGAAGGGGAGAGUGGAAUUCCAUGUGUAGCGGUGAAAUGCGUAGAUAUAUGGAGGAACACCGGUGGCGAAAGCGGCUCUCU
rnacentral:rRNA from 1 species